UACGAAGGGUGCAAGCGUUACUCGGAAUUACUGGGCGUAAAGCGUGCGUAGGCGGUUUGUUAAGUCUGCUGUGAAAUCCCCGGGCUCAACCUGGGAAUGGCAGUGGAUACUGGCAAGCUAGAGUGUGUCAGAGGAUGGUGGAAUUCCCGGUGUAGCGGUGAAAUGCGUAGAGAUCGGGAGGAACAUCAGUGGCGAAGGCGGCCAUCUGGGACAACACUGACGCUGAGGCACGAAAGCGUGGGGAGCAAACAGGG
rnacentral:rRNA from 1 species